rnacentral:lncRNA from 1 species
CUCGGUCCAGCAUCGGGCCCCCAGCCGGAGGCAGCUCCGGAGGGUGUCACCACAGCACAGGGCCUGGCCCGGCGCCGCGGCCCCUCCGCCCGCAGUGGUUCAGCCCGGCAGAUCCGGGGCCGCCUCAGGGCGCCGCCCCCGCCGCGGCCGCGCAGCCGCCAGGUAAGGCCGGGCCGGGCCCCAGCGGGCUGCGCUGGGCCGGGGGUGCCGCGGGGUCUCGGACGGGGCUGCGCCGCCGCCAGGUGGAACCAGGUGUGCAACCACUGGGACCUGCAUCUGAAGGACAUGAAAAUUUCCCUCCCAAAAAUGCAGUAACAAACCAGGAGAGCAGCAAAGAGAUACAGCAGCUGGUGAGUUGUGAGCCUGGUUUGGGGGAAGGAGUCUGCUGCUUUUUUAUUUUUGUUGGGGGUUUCAUAUGUGCAGUCCAGGUAGAGAUUUUGGGGACUGAAGUCCUUUUAGGUGCAGCUGCCCUGCAAAAGUUGGAAGCUUGGGGAACUGGAAGAAAAACACAGGCCAUGUGCAUGCAGUGUUGCUGGGUGCCAGUCCAGGUGCUUGGCUGGCAGGGGAAUAUGUCACACUCAGGUGAGAGGGAAACAUGCCUGUAGGUUCUGUGGUGUGUUUGGUUUAGACUUAUCUGAACUGGGGACAGAUGUGGAUGAGGAAUGUGCCCCUUGUGAAUUAUUCCAGCAAUUAAGACAGUGCACAGGGAGGUUUAGCAGCUCCUGUCCAUGUGUAGCGAGUAGCUACAGAUCAGGAGGAUGUCUGUGCUCUGUUAGGUGUCACUGGAAUUAGAAUAGGAGCUAAAAUAGUACAGCUGGUGUUUAAAGAUGAAAAUUUUAUACAGAAAAUCUGUUGUUUUGUCCCCCACACCUUGUCCUCUCUACUGUUCUGUAUAAAUAGGAACAGUCCAUGCAUGUGGGAGCAGAAUUAUUUCCAGAUAGAAGGUUUGGGGAAGAGCGGAAUAGUGGGGUUUUCCUUUUGAUUUUCCUAACUUUCAGAAAAAUCUCCCUUGAGUUCUACAUUGUUUAACUUUGUCACAAAGAGAUUUUCAUAAGAAAAUAAAGAUAACUAAUGCAGCA